rnacentral:tRNA from 1 species
GGAGAGGUGCGAGAGUGGUUGAAUCGGGCGGUCUCGAAAAUCGUUGUACCCCUUGCGGGUACCGUGGGUUCGAAUCCCACCCUCUCCGCCA